ensembl:lncRNA
UGAGAGUGUAAUUUCAAAAUUUGGUUGUGCAUCAGAAGUUUUUCUCUUGUUGCCAGUCACUAACAGUCACUUAAUUAGUACGUCAGCAAACAUUGUUUAGAUUGGUAUGUUAGUCUAGCAGCCACCUAUCUAAACUUGUAGAAAUCAUGGUCGAUUUACCGACUGGGGGCCCCCAUUGAUUUUAUUAGUCACUCUCAGUCAGAUAUCAUAUUAAAAACAGUUAUCUCUGCCCCAUGGCAAAAUGGGUAGAAUUGCAGGAAAUUUGUUAUAAAAUUGCAAAAUCUUCUCUCCGCCCCACGUCAAAAAUGUGUAGAAUGGAUGGGGGCAGACAAACUAAAUUUCGCUUAGGCCCCCGAAAAGGCUAGGGCCGGCUGUAUGUGUGGAUAAGGAUGUAGGUACGCAGAACUGCGAGCAACUGACGCCUCCCAUGGUGAGUUUAGAUUUUUUUUAUAGCCCCCACCCCCAUCAAAGUUGCCCGUCACUGGUCUAGAAUGUAUCUUUUACCUCGUGCAGUGUGGAAAGUUGUGGUUUAGAGCAGUUUCUUAAAACAGUGAAACUGGUCACCCAAAUCUUUCUUGUGUGUCAACAGCACAGACCCAAAUCUUGCCUGGAGAACCUCAUUGCUGAACUGCCUGACCUUUUACUACUGCAAACAUACUCUAUCUCCAUUUCUAGGAGAAGAUACAUUUUAAAUGGCUGAAACUAUUGGUGUCUUUUCAGACUGAAAAUGGCAGAGGUCUUCAAUCAAGCCAGAGAGAAGGCCUCGUACAGCAUCAAACCCAAACAGUCUUCUGGAAUAAAAAGCCAAACUGGGUCAGUAGAUCUGAGCCAAUGGACUGCUCUUAUCCAGGAUAAGUUUGCACAAAAUGGGAUUCAAAUGGAUUUCACUGCCGUGUUUUUGUCAAUGAUCUACACAAAAUACUCUGUAAUGUCAAAGUGGCUUUUUGUUUUGAACAUUUGUAAAAGAUGAAUGAAAAAUUAAAUAUCUUUAUAUAUUUA